UUGACUUUGAUGAUCUCUAUAUGCAACAUCAAUUGACAUAAAUUAAAGUACAUUCAGGGCAAGAGAGUUUCUUUAAAUAUUACUUUGUUAUUCAAAAUAAUCACAAAAGCACUCAUCGUAGGAAAACUUGUGAGGACUCAAAUAUAGAGAAAUACCUUUUCUUUCUAAGGCAUAAUUCUGUAAAGAAAUUCACCUUAAUUUGAAUAUACAUGUGAAAAUAUCCUUGUUCAAUAAUAGUCUAUAUUCACUCUGUUUUCUUCCCUCAUAGACCAGCCGGUUCACUAUUAUUCUCCAAAUGAUGUGUGCCUCUCUAGAUUCCAGGCUAUCUGCAUAUCUAAUUUUUCCCAUAAAUUACUGUUUUGAAUUGCACUGAAUUCAAUUUAAGGGGAUGUCAUUUAUAAAAAGUGCAAAUAUAUACUGCACGAGGGAUCUUAAAAAUCAUACACAUGGUUUGAUCCAUAAGCUCAUAUGAGCGUGCAAUGUCAACUUUUUUCAUGUUUUUUUAAGUCCACUUAAAUUCUAUUUUAAGCCACCAUCUGUCUGUGCUGUUAGGGCAGUUAGCCUUAAAUCAUUUUAAGAUGCUCCCUUCUAAGUACUGUGAUAGUGAUAGAGAUGUCACCAGUCAAGUGUCCUAGGAAGCCGACUCCGAGUUGGAGAUUUGCAUGCAAGGAGGUUGAAAUGAUACUCCCAACACCUGUGGAAGAGUUAAAGCAAUAGGAUUGGGUGGAGCAGGAAGUUGGCUGGAAUGCAAUCACUAUCAUGGCCGCAGUCCACUCUACAGGGAUCUUGGUGAGUUUACCUAAUGACCUCGAAUUGGAGCAAGCAAAAAAGGCCAUUAUAUUUCUGUACCAAGCAGUUCUCGGAUGUGGGAUGCCUUGAGAAGGGACAUGGACUUGGAUGAAGGAACUUUAGUGUGCUGUAGAGCAACACUCUGGAGACCUUCUUUUGAGGCAUUUCACCACCAGAGUAAGUGUGAUGUAUGAAUAAUUAGUCCACCCACAGGCAGCUGGUGAAAUUGAAUUGGAAGUUAUUUCUUAACUGGCAUAUCUUGGAGUAAAAUUCAUCUAAUAACAGUUUUCAUAAGAGAGCAUAAGCUUAAAAGACAACAUUUUUCAUUCAACUUUACCAAACAAAGUGCAAAUUUAGGUGUCCAGUUGUGAAGUUUGGUUGUGUAUGGAUUGUACAGUGAAGGUACCAGUGGACAACAGUUGCUCAUCAAGCAAGUUUAUACAAAAUCUUUUGGACAAGUCCAACUCUAGAUAAAAUUCUAAAGUAUUUCGUGCUUGUGUUCAGAGUUUCUUUUUCUCUCUCCAAGGUAACACACAUAUCAAAAGACAUGGAUUGUGGGUAGAACUUCCUAAAAUUGCUGGUGAGAAGUGUGCCAUGCAUAAACAUACUUCACUAGCUUGAAUUUUCUGUUAGUCUCACAGGAAACAAUUACAAUCCUGUAUGUUUUUCUAUCUCCACACACUCCUGAACAUAGAAAGACCAAGUAACAUCCCUGGUUAAGAUGUGUACAGGUUACAAGACAUGUCUAAAUAUAUUCACCAAGAGGUUUAUUAUUUUCACAGUGGCAUUCACUAAAUCAGUUGUCAGUAUAGCAUUACUCAAGGAAUAAGCAGGGUCUUUAAUUUAUCAAAGUUUGGAGUCCACCCCAAGUUGGAUCACUGAAGCACAUAACUAUAGAUAAGGUCACUCAAAAGCACAAAUCCAGGUAAUAAAUAUUCAGUAGUAGUUUAUAUGCAUUUAGCAAUUUGAAUGCUGGGAAAUGUAGCCCAGAAAAUCAAUCGACCUUCAACUAUUAAAGAGGCAUUCAUGGCACCUGCACUUUGAAUCUUUUCAGACGAAGGUUAAACAGGAGACACGGUAGCUCACGUAUACUGCAAAACCCCUUCCUCUUUCCCUUUUUAUCUAUGAACCUGCCCUUUUCAAUGUUAUCUAGAUGCCUGAAGGUAUGAAUACCCUUGAUCUUAGUAAAAAAUGGUACCACCCAUCAGCAAAAUCUCACUGAUCAGUGUCUAUGUUACCUCACUGAGUUAGCCUUUUGUGUUGUUGUGGCCCAGGAUGACAAUGUUGACAGAAUCCAAACCAGUAGUUGGAAAGUUAAUGUUAGAUGCGUCUUUGACAAUUGAUGGAAUGACCUGAAAUCAAAUGUGAGGCAGUGGAGACACAAGAAUGCUAUUCAGGCAGUGAGUGAUCUGUGGAGAUACUAAAUGAAAUAUCUGGAAGGAAUUGUAAUCUUGAAACUAUGCUUUUAUGUGUUUUUUGAUGUAAACAGUUUCUAUUUAUGGUGGAGCUGCAGUGUCCAUUUCCCAUGAUGUUCCCAUAGUGUUAACUAAUACAGUCAUGUGUCACUUAAUGACAGGGGUGUGUCUGAGCAAUGCAUUGCUGGACAAUUUUAUUAUUGUAUGAACAUCACAGAGUUUACUUACACAAACCUAGAUGCUAUAGCUGAUUAUAUGCCUAGGUUAGGUGGUAUAGCCUAUUCCUCCUAGGCUACAAACCUGUGCAGCAUGUUACUGUACUGAAUACUGUAGGCAAUUGUAACACAACAGUUAAGUAUAUCUAUAGUUACUAAUAUCUAUACAGUAAGUGUAUCUAUACAUGUCUAAACAUACAAGAGGUACAGUAAAAGUACAGUGUUAUGAUUUUAUUGCACCACUCUCAUACAUGUGCACUAUCCUUGACCAAAAUGUUGUUAUGUGAUGCAUGAUUGUAACAAAAGAAUUAAUUAAAUAUAAUAUUGAAGUGCCUAUUGAGAUUUCAAUGAAGAAAGGAAUAUUUGUAAAUUCUGAUUACCUUAAGUGAGAAUUGACUUUCUUCCUGUUUCCAUGGCUGUUCUUGUGAAAGAGCAUAGCUUUCCAAAGACCUG
rnacentral:lncRNA from 10 species